UACGUAGGGUGCAAGCGUUAUCCGGAAUUAUUGGGCGUAAAGAGCUCGUAGGCGGUUUGUCGCGUCUGCUGUGAAAACUGGAGGCUCAACCUCCAGCCUGCAGUGGGUACGGGCAGACUAGAGUGCGGUAGGGGAGAUUGGAAUUCCUGGUGUAGCGGUGGAAUGCGCGGAUAUCAGGAGGAACACCGAUGGCGAAGGCAGAUCUCUGGGCCGUAACUGACGCUGAGGAGCGAAAGCAUGGGGAGCGAACAGG
rnacentral:rRNA from 1 species